rnacentral:rRNA from 1 species
GAUGAACGCUGGCGGCGUGCUUAACACAUGCAAGUCGAACGGAAAGGCCCAAGCUUGCUUGGGUACUCGAGUGGCGAACGGGUGAGUAACACGUGGGUGAUCUGCCCUGCACUUCGGGAUAAGCCUGGGAAACUGGGUCUAAUACCGGAUAGGACGAUGGUUUGGAUGCCAUUGUGGAAAGUUUUUUCGGUGUGGGAUGAGCUCGCGGCCUAUCAGCUUGUUGGUGGGGUAAUGGCCUACCAAGGCGUCGACGGGUAGCCGGCCUGAGAGGGUGUACGGCCACAUUGGGGCUGAGAUACGGCCCAGACUCCUACGGGAGGCAGCAGUGGGGAAUAUUGCACAAUGGGAGCAAGCAUGAUGCAGCGACGCCGCGUGGGGGAUGACGGCCUUCGGGUUGUAAACUCCUUUCGCUAGGGACGAAGCGAUUUUGUGACGGUACCUGGAGAAGAAGCACCGGCUAACUACGUG